rnacentral:tRNA from 1 species
GCGGGAAUAGCUCAGUUGGUAGAGCGCAAUCUUGCCAAGGUUGAGGUCGCGAGUUCGAGGCUCGUUUCCCGCUCCA